rnacentral:rRNA from 1 species
UACGUAGGGGGGCGAGCGUUGUCCGGAAUUAUUGGGCGUAAAGAGCUCGUAGGCGGUGUGUCGCGUCGGCCGUGAAAAACCUGCAGCUUAACUGUGGGCUUGCGGUCGAUACGGGCAUCACUGGAGUUCGGCAGGGGAGACUGGAAUUCCUGGUGUAGCGGUGAAAUGCGCAGAUAUCAGGAGGAACACCGGUGGCGAAGGCGGGUCUCUGGGGCCGAUACUACGCUGAGGAGCGAAAAGCGUGGGGGAGCGAAACAGG